CAGCAGCCGCGGGAAUACGGAGGGAGCUAGCGUUGUUCGGGAUUACUGGGCGUAAAGCGCGCGUAGGCGGUUACUCAAGUCAGAGGUGAAAGCCCGGGGCUCAACCCCGGAACUGCCUUUGAAACUAGGUGACUAGAAUCUUGGAGAGGUCAGUGGAAUUCCGAGUGUAGAGGUGAAAUUCGUAGAUAUUCGGAAGAACACCAGUGGCGAAGGCGACUGACUGGACAAGUAUUGACGCUGAGGUGCGAAAGCGUGGGGAGCAAACAGGAUUAGAUACCCCCGUAGUCCCUGUCUCUUAUAA
rnacentral:rRNA from 1 species